UACGUAGGGUGCUAGCGUUGUCCGGAUUUAUUGGGCGUAAAGGGCUCGUAGGCGGCGUGUCGCGUCGGGAGUGAAAACUUGGGGCUCAACCCCAAGCCUGCGGUCGAUACGGGCAGGCUAGAGUUCGGUAGGGGAGACUGGAAUUCCUGGUGUAGCGGUGAAAUGCGCAGAUAUCAGGAGGAACACCGAUGGCGAAGGCAGGUCUCUGGGCCGAUACUGACGCUGAGGAGCGAAAGCGUGGGGAGCGAACAGG
rnacentral:rRNA from 1 species